rnacentral:lncRNA from 1 species
GGUCGUCGAUUUCUUAUUCGCCAUGGUACAACACCGCUGUUAGAUCCUGUCUCCAACCUGUCAUGGCGCUUGCCGGACUUCGCCGGUGAAGUUCGUCGUGGUCAUCUGGUCCCAGCCCGACCCAUCCGUACGCUCGCUCCUCAUCCAUCGGGUUUCGGCGUGUUCGCGUUUACCGUCGAGUCAUCGAACCCAUCAUCCCCUGCUCGACCCCCACCUUACCAGCUCGCUCCAGACUUCAAUCGAAGGUCGUCGUCGUUCCGCGCGUCAUCAAGAAAUCCCAAACGUCGGGUGAAGACGAAGCCAGCAGCGUGGUGUUCACCAAGUGCGCGACAAAAAGCUCGAACAAGUCGUCGAUUUCGUGGUUUCAAAUCGGAUGUCAUAAGGGUAAGUUUAUUCGUAUUCCAGUCAACUAGGUCUAUAAAAUAGAUUAAAUAGAAUUUUUGGUCACAAUAAAUAUUAUUAAUUUAGCAUGCGUAUAUUGUGAUGAUCGAUUUAGAUAAAUCGGUAAAUCAAGUAAUUAAGAUACACAGUUUAAAGAGCUAAUAAAAAGCUAGGAAUAAAAAUAGAUUUUCUAGUGUUAUUAUGUCAGUUUGGUUAAUGGAUGAAGUCGAUACCCUACUUAAUUAGUUAUCUUAUUCUAGAUUGGGUGUUUAAUUCGCUGUCGUAUAAGUAUUAUUUAGGUUUGCGAUAUUCCUCCUUAUAUGCAUACAUGUGCAUUAUGCAUAUCAUUCAGGUACCUUAAUUAAUCAUGUGAUGCGGAAGACGACCCAAGUCGAUCCCAAGCGUGGGCUAAUCCGCAUGGUGAUGUUGAUGGAUGAACCUGAAGAUAGGAUGAUCUAAUCAAGUGCUA